AUGAUGCAAUCCUGGACGAACACGAGUCCUCCUUUCAUUUCUUUGCUUUCCUUUCUCACUGGUCUCGCUUGAUGUAGUUCGCGUGUAGGAGCCAGCGCCGCAUGGCGACGGGGAAGGGGUUAAGAGUAAUAAAAAGCACGAACAUUCUCUCACGAAUGCUUUUAUAUUUUGGUUAUGACCACUUCUAUUUUUUUAGUUUACGCUUGUAAGUCUUCACUUGAUUUUAUAGAUAGAUUGAUAGAGAGAGAUGAUUAGCUCUCGACCACUCCAGGGUGUGGCAGUUGGGAUAGAGCCGCCUAAAACGAAAACGACUAAGUGUAGAAUAUUAAACUAUUUUCAUUGUCCCACUCUUGUGCGACUUGCCUUUUUCCAAAUGCCUUAUACAGUACAGUAUAUUUCUACUGUGGUAUGCGCCGCAUGCAGCGAUGUUUGACGCCCUCCUAGUGAAUUUUUGACGCAAUUGCCGGCGGGAGUGAACCAGUCUGUCGCCAGGUCGCCGUCGGCAUCAGGUUAUGCUCACCUGAUUGUUGUCAAUCGGGAUAAGCACGCAACCAGCUGACUCGCCACCUAUUUGCCUUCAUUGUGCUCAUUGCCAUUUUUGCCGCCGGAGUUGUUCAAGCGGUGAAAAAAAAUCGAAACAGCACAGAGAAGAUUGUUGGCAACAAACCUGCCAAAUUUCAAUAAAAUAAAAAUCAUGUAAAAUGAGGCUUGAUAGUGGUGAAAAGUCAAGCGCUUCUCUCUGCUCUCAAACAGAUUUGGCCAGUUUCAUGUGCUGAAACCGGACCCUGCUCAAAUGUUGAUCGAAAACCGCAACUACAAACUUGAAAAAAUGGAUACUAGUUUAUGGAGCAUCUUGCUCAUGCGUACACAAAACAUGCUUGAGCUGGAAUUCCCCCUUCCUCAAUUCUCCUCAACUGGAAGAAUCAACAAAAAUAAACAACAGGCCACACAUUGUCUUAUAAAUAUUCUAACUGCAAAUAUUUGAAUAGAAUACAACACAUUUCUAUUGUCACUGUCACAGAGACAAUGCAAAUCAACAAAAAUAAAACAUUUACAAAUAAAA